rnacentral:rRNA from 1 species
UACGUAGGGGGCUAGCGUUGUCCGGAAUCAUUGGGCGUAAAGCGCGUGUAGGCGGCCAGGUAGGUCCGAUGUGAAAUCUGGAGGCUCAACCUCCAGCGGUCAUUGGAAACCAUCUGGCUAGAGUCCGGAAGAGGAGAGUGGAAUUCCUGGUGUAGCGGUGAAAUGCGCAGAUAUCAGGAAGAACACCGAUGGCGAAGGCAGCUCUCUGGGACGGUACUGACGCUGAGACGCGAAAAGCGUGGGGAGCGAACAGG